rnacentral:rRNA from 1 species
UACGUAGGGUGCGAGCGUUAAUCGGAAUUACUGGGCGUAAAGCGUGCGUAGGCGGUUCGCUGUGUCCGAUGUGAAAGCCCCGGGCUUAACCUGGGAAUGGCAUUGGAAACUGGCGGGCUUGAGUGCGGCAGAGGGGGGUGGAAUUCCGCGUGUAGCAGUGAAAUGCGUAGAGAUGCGGAGGAACACCGAUGGCGAAGGCAGCCCCCUGGGUCGACACUGACGCUGAGGCACGAAAGCGUGGGGAGCAAACAGG